rnacentral:rRNA from 1 species
CCUACGGGUGGCAGCAGUGAGGAAUAUUGGUCAAUGGGCGAGAGCCUGAACCAGCCAAGUCGCGUGAGGGAGUACUGCCCUAUGGGUUGUAAACCUCUUUUGUCGGGGAGCAAAAGCCGGACGUGUCCGGCUGUGAGAGUACCCGAAGAAAAAGCAUCGGCUAACUCCGUGCCAGCAGCCGCGGUAAUACGGAGGAUUCGAGCGUUAUCCGGAUUUAUUGGGUUUAAAGGGCGCGCAGGCGGAUUUUUAAGUCAGCGGUAAAAUCGUGGGGCUCAACCCCAUCCAGCCGUUGAAACUGGGGAUCUAGAGUGUGCGAGAGGUAUGCGGAAUGCGUGGUGUAGCGGUGAAAUGCAUAGAUAUCACGCAGAACCCCGAUUGCGAAGGCAGCAUACCGGUGCACAACUGACGCUCAGGCACGAAAGCGUGGGUAUCGAACAGGAUUAGAUACCCUAGUAGUC